rnacentral:rRNA from 1 species
UACGGAGGGUGCAAGCGUUGUCCGGAUUUAUUGGGUUUAAAGGGCGCGUAGGCGGCGCGGUAUGUCACCUGUGAAAUCUCCUGGCUCAACUGGGAGCUUGCAGGCGAAACUGCCGUGCUGGAGUGUGGGAGAGGUGCGUGGAAUUCCUGGUGUAGCGGUGAAAUGCGUAGAUAUCAGGAGGAACACCUGUGGCGAAAGCGGCGCACUGGACCACAACUGACGCUGAGGCGCGAAAGCUAGGGGAGCAAACAGG